rnacentral:misc_RNA from 1 species
UUUAACGAUUUAUAUCUAUACUCAGACGGCACAGUUAUCAGAAUUUAAGAUGGCUACCGGCGGGCACGGGCCAGGGGCGGUGAACCCCCCGGCGGCCCCAAAGGGCGGGCCCGCCAAAGCAACGUGGUUGGUUAAACAAAGGGUUGGAGGUCGGGCCUGGAAGACCCUUACUCGGUAAUGAUCCUUCCGCAGGUUCACUAGAAAUUAUGUUAGCACAUGUCACAAGGGUUUUAAGGGGGAAAGGAUUGUUAAACGUACCCUACGGAAA